rfam:Cricetulus griseus cell line CHO-K1, whole genome shotgun sequence.
UUAGGCUACGGGGACAUGUACCCGCAAACAUGGUCAGGGAUGUUGGUGGGGGCCUUGUGUGCUCUUGCUGGAGUGCUGACAAUAGCCAUGCCCGUGCCUGUCAUUGUCAACAAU